AAAGGUAAGCUACUAAGAGCGAAUGGUGGAUGCCUUGACUGGUAAAGGCGAUGAAGGACGUACUAGACUGCGAUAAGCUACGGGGAGCUGUCAAGAAGCUUUGAUCCGUAGAUUUCCGAAUGGGGCAACCCAAUGUAUAGAGAUAUACAUUACCUAUAUAGGAGCGAACGAGGGGAAUUGAAACAUCUUAGUACCCUCAGGAAAAGAAAUCAAUAGAGAUUGCGUCAGUAGCGGCGAGCGAAAGCGCAAGAGGGCAAACCCAGUGCUUGCACUGGGGGUUGUAGGACUGCAAUGUGCAAGAGGUAAGUUUAGCAGAACAUUCUGGAAAGUAUAACCAUAGAGGGUGAUAGUCCCGUAUGCGAAAAACAAACCUUAGCUAGCAGUAUCCUGAGUAGGGCGGGACACGAGGAAUCCUGUCUGAAUCCGGGUCGACCACGAUCCAACCCUAAAUACUAAUACCAGAUCGAUAGUGCACAAGUACCGUGAGGGAAAGGUGAAAAGAACUGAGGUGAUCAGAGUGAAAUAGAACCUGAAACCAUUUGCUUACAAUCAUUCAGAGCCCUAUGUAGCAAUACAGGGUGAUGGACUGCCUUUUGCAUAAUGAGCCUGCGAGUUGUGGUGUCUGGCAAGGUUAAGCAAACGCGAAGCCGUAGCGAAAGCGAGUCUGAAUAGGGCGCUUAGUCAGAUGCUGCAGACCCGAAACGAAGUGAUCUAUCCAUGAGCAAGUUGAAGCUAGUGUAAGAACUAGUGGAGGACUGAACCCAUAGGCGUUGAAAAGCCCCGGGAUGAC
rnacentral:rRNA from 1 species